rnacentral:rRNA from 1 species
UACGGCGAGUGAAGCGGCAACAGCUCAAAUUUGAAAGCUAGCCUUCGGGUUCGCAUUGUAAUUUGUAGAGGAUGAUUUGGGGAAGCCGCCUGUCUAAGUUCCUUGGAACAGGACGUCAUAGAGGGUGAGAAUCCCGUAUGUGACAGGAAAUGGCACCCUAUGUAAAUCUCCUUCGACGAGUCGAGUUGUUUGGGAAUGCAGCUCUAAAUGGGAGGUAAAUUUCUUCUAAAGCUAAAUAUUGGCGAGAGACCGAUAGCGCACAAGUAGAGUGAUCGAAAGAUGAAAAGCACUUUGGAAAGAGAGUUAAAAAGCACGUGAAAUUGUUGAAAGGGAAGCGCUUGCAAUCAGACUUGUUUAAACUGUUCGGCCGGUCUUCUGACCGGUUUACUCAGUUUGGACAGGCCAGCAUCAGUUUCGGCGGCCGGAUAAAGGCUCUGGGAAUGUGGCCUCCACUUCGGUGGAGGUGUUAUAGCCCAGGGUGUAAUACGGCCAGCCGGGACUGAGGUCCGCGCUUCGGCUAGGAUGCUGGCGUAAUGGUUGUAAGCGACCCGU